CCCCGGCCCCGCCGGAUUCGCCGGACCCCCGGGCGCCGAUGGCCAGCCCGGAGCCAAGGGCGAACAGGGGGAGCCAGGCCAGAAGGGCGACGCCGGAGCCCCAGGGCCUCAGGGUCCCUCCGGGGCUCCUGGACCGCAGGGUCCCACUGGUGUCACCGGUCCCAAAGGAGCCCGGGGUGCUCAGGGACC